AUGUUGUAUGAAAGGAGAGAAGGUUAGAACUCCCCUUGACAAGAAUGGAAGAACCCUUUGGGCCUGACAACCUGCAUAUGGUUAAGGCAUUGCUACCUACUUCGUGACAUCUAACCAUUGUUUUUA